rnacentral:lncRNA from 1 species
AUAAAGACUAGGGUUAUGAACAUGAAGGUGGAGACAGGGGCGGAGCCGCCAUACAAGGGUGCAUUAGACUGUGCAAUGAAGACAGUGAGGGCGGAGGGUCCAAUGGCUUUGUAUAAGGGAUUUAUCCCUACAAUCUCAAGGCAAGGACCUUUCACUGUGGUGCUGUUUGUCACGCUAGAGCAGGUCAGGAAACUGCUCAAAGAUUUCUAACUCAUGUGAUGAUGAUCGAUGAGGAAAAUCAAACGCCAUUACAUAUAGCUAGAAAGCUGUGAAUUUUUCAGCUUCAUUGCUGAGAAUUAUUCUUUAAUUUUUUUAAUGGGACUCUUUGUAUCUGUCAAAUUGCAGUUAAAUUGGCAAUUCCACAGUUUUAGGAAGAUAGAUUCCUGCAUUUAACAUUUUAUUUAUAAAAAAAAAAUUAAAAAUAAUUUUUUUAAAGUAUAUAAAAAAUAAUUAAUAAUUAUAAAAAAAUUAUAUAAAAUGACAGCUAGACAUUUUUUAAAAUAAUUAAUAAUUAAAAUUAUUUUAUUUUUUUAAAAUUAAAUGUAUAUAAAAACAAAAAAUAUAUAUAUUUUAAAGAAAAAUUUUUUAAUAUUUAAAAUAUUCAUUGACUAAUUUUCUAAAUGCCUCAAAUAUUAAAAAAAUAUGAAAAAUAUUUUUAGUUAAAAUAUAAAAAAUAUUUAACUAAAAAUAUUUUGUAUAAAAAAGUAGAGUCUAAAAUAUAUAAUUUUUUUAUAUUUUUUAACAUAUCUACCUUUUAAAAUUUUCAUAAAUAUGAUAUUUUAAAAUCUCAACGUGGUUUUACUAUCAUUAAAAUUUUAAAUUUUUUUAACUCACAAUUUAAUAAAAUAAUUAAUAAAAAUUUCAAAAAUAUAUAAUUUCAUUAAAAUAAUUUUAUGUAAUUUUUUUAAAUAAUUAUUUGUUUAAACAUUUUUUAUUUAAAAAUAAAAAAAAUUUUAAAAUAAUAAAUUAUUAUUUUUAACAAUAAUUUUAAUUAGUAAUUAUUUUUUUUAUAUACUUUAAAAAAAUUAUUUUUAAUUUUUUUUUAAAAAUAUUUUUUUAUAAAAUUGACAUAUUCAAUAAUUAAAGCGUUAAACAUACCGAUUUCCACCGCUAGAUUAUCAAACUGUGCAGUUCCACAGCAUGAGUGAUGAAUAAAAAUUCAAAAUGCCUUGGAAGAUCAAACGUGAAUUUCAAUUUCUUUUUUUUUUCUUGUGCGUGUUUUGAAAAAAAAAUAGCUCUACCAAAGCAGUAAACUCAGCAAGCACAAAGGUACACAGGCCAAGUCGAAUCAUGAAUCCAGCUGCCCAACGACCGCGGCUAUUCCGGAGUAGCCCACCUCCUCCUCCACGACCUGGAUUCCCCUGCAAGCUGCGACGCUCCAUCUGUGUUGAGUUUUAACCACCUAUCUCGCGGUGGAACCCAUGAAACAGCCACCAAAGUUCGUUGUUUUUGCACCUUAUUCAUUCCUUUCCAGACCUUAUAAUUCAUGCAGUAUUCCCUACGUAAAAUGGCUAUCUUUGAAGUUAACGUUAAUAUUUCUCCCUCAAACACAUAAUUAUUUCUCCACUGCCACAAAAACCAUAACGUAAUACAAAGACACUGUACAGCCUGAUACUCACUCCUUUCUCUACAUAUCAGUUCUUCACAAUGUAACCAGUCCUGAAUUCCCAUGUUAUAAAAUUUGGUUAAAGAGUUGGCCUCCCAUACAUUUCCUAGACUUGUCGAGCAGCCCAACAAUAAAGAUAUGUAGGUAACUUUCAUAUAUUUUUUACUUAUAAUUUAAAUUAAUUUUAUAUUUUUAGUAAAUUUAGUAAAUAAAAAUAAAUAUUUAAUAUUUAAUUAUUUUAUUCAUAAAAAUUAAAAAAUUUAAUUUCAUUGACUCAUUGAAGAUGUGAUAUAGUGAUUCUAUCAUAUGAAAGGUAAAUACGUAGAAAAAUUAUAAAUUUUUGUUUAUAAAUAUAUCAUAUUUUUUGUGCUUAAUUUUAAUUUAUUAUAAUUUUAAAAAGUAAAAAGAUAAAUAUUGAAUUUAAAUGUUUAUUUUAUUUAUUAUCAGCAAAUGAGACUUUCUGUAUAUAUUAAUAUUUACUGGGACGGAAAUAUUAUAAGUACGUUUUCAUGGAUAUGAUUAUGGUGGAAGUUUUUCAAAUGUUGUUCUAAUAAGUAAAAGGAUAAGUUUUAAUCAAACAGUAAAAAAAAUUGCAUAUACUAAUAUUUACUGGAACGAAAAUAUUAUAAGUAAUUCUGAUGGAUAUGAUUAUGAUGGAGGUUUUUCAAAGGUUGUUCCAAUAAGUAAAAGGAUAAAUUUUAAUUAAGCAAUCGAAAAAAUUGCAUAUACUAAUAUUUAUUGGGACGAAAAUAUUAUAAGUAGUUUUCAUGGAUAUGAUUAUGAUGGAGGGUUUUCAAAGGUUUUCCAAUAAGUGAAAGGAUAAGUUUUAAUCAAGCAGUCGAAAAAAUUGCUUGUGCAGUUGAAUUAGUCGAGAAUAAUGAAUAUAUAGAGAUAAUUAAUUUUAAAAAACCUAUAAUUUUGGAUGGAUCAUUAAAAUUUAAGUAUAUGGACACUACAAGAAUUUUAAAAAUUACCAACAGAAAUUUCCAUUGGUAAACAUUGAUAUUCCGUUAGUGAAAAAUUUCACUAACGGAUCUGUGACGGAUUCAUUCCGUUGGGAAAAUUCUCGUUGGUAAAUUAUUCACUAACGGAAUUUGUAUCCGUUAGUGACACUAACGAAUCACCAACGGAAAUGUCCGUUGGUGACACUAACGGAAUGCAAUUCCGUUGGUAAUACUAACGGAUUUUGCAUUAGUAAUCCGUUAGUGAAUAAAAAAUGGCGUUGUUUUCCUUUGCAAUGGACAUGGAUCUGUUAGUGACACCAACGGAAAUUCUAUUGGUAAUCCGUUGGUAAAUCAUAAAAUUGCAAAAUCAUCCAUAUAUUUUCAUACAUUAUGUACUUGUACCCUGUACAUUCAUAUACAUCCAUCAUCAUCCAUCAUCAUCCUGGACAUUAAUAAUACUAUAAACGUAAAAAAUCAAAUUACUCAUUAAAAUAUAUUUAAAACUUAAAAAAUUUGUACUACAAUUAUAAUUUGAAAUAAAAAUUAUCAACUGGUCAUAACAAAAGAUACAUACUAAACUAAACUAGCAAACUCAUCAUCUGUAUCAUCAUCAUCACUAUCUGUAUGAUGAUCACCAAUGACAGGGGCAUCAUCAUGCCGCUGCUGUGGAGACGGAGCUGGAGGUGCCCUAGGAGCAGAUGUCUGAGUGGAUGUCCCAAUACUCUGUUGUGCCAUCAUCCUAUGCAUAAACGUCUGCAACUCGUCCAACACUGUGCUAAUUCAACCAUUCUCUGUCUCUAGCCGAUCAAUUUUAUUCUGCAUCUUGUUCAUUGCUUCAAUUGUAGGAGGAUCCACUGGGGGUGCAGACGUGUAUGAAGCGGAACAAUGAGAUGGCUCAUGAAAAUAUGCUAAAGCCUAGGACCCUAAUCUAUAAACUCGACUCUUUUUCUGCCCGCCAACCGCUUCGUAGUACAGUUGGACCUCAUUUAUGGUCGUCGGCUCAUUGCUUCUCUCCUGUUGCUGUGUUGCUACCUCUUUCAGUUGUACGUAUUUAUCCUGCAUUAUAAAUUUCAAGUAACGUAUUAGUAAAACGAUUUAAGUACAUCAAAAUUGUUAAUAACUACAUUUAAUAUUAACUUACAUAAAUAGCUUUUGACCUAGCAUCAACAAACUCUUCUGUCCCUUUUCUCUUAUGUGUGACCUCGAAAACCUCAUGAGGAUGUGGUUCUCUGCCUAGUCUUUCUCUCUGUUACCAAUUAUAAGAAGUAUAGCAAUUAUCAUCGAAAAAAAAUAUUUAUAAGAAGAUAAAUAUAAAAUAAAAAUAUUUACUAAUACCAUCCUCUGCUAAUGGGUAUACUGUGAAACUGAUCCGCAUGCAUGCCUGGAAAUGCCAGAUCCUGACCCUCCAGCCUCAAUGCGCCUAUUGGUAGAAAACUUGUCACACUUCUCUUUGUAUUCAGAAGUGUUCCAAGUUUUCUGCCACUUCCUCAAAAUAGAAUCUGGUGUAGCCAGAUUCUUCGCCUUCCCUUUCCUGAUUUCCCACAUUAAGCCCCUAUAUCUCUCAGCUGCCUUUUUCUGCCAUGCAAUUUUGACCAAGCUUUCAAUUGCUUGGUCCCAUAUGAAGCAUUUCUGCAAAAAGAUUAAAGUAUAUGAUUAGUUAGUAAUUACACAUUUCAUAUUAUAAAUCAAAAUGCUAAAAGAAUUACGCUUCACCUUGAAUUCCUGCCAAUAAAACUCCUUAGUGUCAUUUGGCACUGUCUUCCAACAGUGUCCUUCCGCGAUCAAUCUUUAUUUUAUUAUCAGAGUAAUCCUGCGACUGCACAUCUCCGACGGAUGUAAACUACAUGAACAACGGUGAGUUAGUAUAGGGUAACAUUGAAAUUAAUCAUAAUUAAAAAAUAAUUAACUAUUACUUGUUAUUAAUGAGUGAAAUGGUCUGUCGGAAUGAAUGUGUGCCGCCUACAGCAGUGGUCGAUCCUGCAGAUGCUGGAGCAGAUGAUAGAGUAGAUGCUGAUGCAGAUCCUGACCAUCUAGCUGAUGCAGUAGCAGAAGGAGAUGCAGGUUGAGGUGAAUGUGAAUGUGAUAUCGCAGGUCGUGGAGCUGGAGUGGGAUGGUGAGGAGCUAGAGUGUGACGGUGAGGAGGUGGAAGGGGACGGGGAGGCAAUGCAUCGGUACAUGGUGGAACUGGUGGACCUAAUAGAUCCCUAUGACAUGGUUGUACACUGGAUGCAAGUGGUACCCAUAUUUGAAGCUCCGUAUCCCCAAGUCCCGUUGAUGCCGUGGUAACUACGGCUAAUGCUCUUGUCCGCCAUCUGCAGUCGCCUCCUCUUGACUUGUACUAGCAGGAAGUCGAACCGGUCCUCUGGGCUUCUUAACCCUUCCACAUCCCCUCAUCUGUGAACAAAUAAAAAAUAGUCAAUGCAAAAAAUAAUAUAAAGUUCAUAAACAUUAAAUUAAAAACGUACAAACAUAGUAAGUUACUCACUGAGAAAUAAUGAAAAUAUACAACUCCAAACUGAUUUAUAAUAUAAAUUAAUUUAGUCCGAUUCAUACGAAUCGAACUCAUUAUCACCAUCUGCAUCUACAUCAGAAUUAGGGUCACUAAGAAACUCAUCUUCAUCUGUCGAAACAUCAUCAUGAAUCUCAGUCAUUCCUCCACUAGGAUCAUUCAGGUAGUGUUGUUGAGUAAUAUCAUCCAGAUUUACUUCAGCGUAAUCAAUCUCAUCUUCUUGAAAAGGUUUAUAUGUCUUUGAAGACGUUUCAGAUACUUCAACAACGGGUCUACCUUUAACUUUCAUCACAGCCCACCAAUCAUUUUUGUCACGACGCUUGCUCGGGUAUGAAGCAUAAACGACCUGUGUUGCCUGAGAGGCUAAUACAAAUGGCUCGUACUUACUGUAUCUACGCUUAUUGUUAACAUCGACUAUUCUAUAAUGUCUAUGCACCUUGGUGCCCGUAUUUAGUAUUGGAUCAAACCAAUCAUAUUUGAAAAGUACAGUCCGCUUAAUUGAUAACACUGGAUACUCCAACCGUAACACCUCAACCAACUGUCCAUAGUAGUCACUUUCUUUAAAACUGUAAUUACUCCCUUUUAUACAUACACCAAAAUUCAUUGACUUACUACUUAAAUUUCCAUUGAUUGUGUUGAAUUUAUAUCCAUUAACACAAUACCCAUCAAAAGUUGUGACACUUCUGAGUGGUCCCUUUGAAAGAUCUUGUAUAAGCUGAUUUUUUACAUUGUUCUGCAAUUCAUGGGCAUACUUGUAAAACCAUUGGCCAAACUCUCUCUCCAGUUUUUCAUCAACAGUUGCAUCUGUGAUAUUUGGUUGUGCCGAUUUUACUUGCUCUACAUAAAUGCUAUACAUACAAAUUAACAAGUAAUGUUUAACAAUAAUGUACAAUAUAAGAGAUAUUACACUAUUAAUAUAACUAACAAUACUUACUCAAUAUAUGUUUUCACCUCUGGACAAUUUAAAAGAAUAUAUGUUUGAGCAGAUUGGCUUUCAUUUUCAGUCAUAUAUCUCGAUUUUCCCUUUCAGAUUGUGCUACCUGUGCAUUUGAAUAUGCUUAAUUUGCUCGGUACAUCAUCAUCGGAAACAAAUUCAUGCAAGUUGCGUGGAACCUUCGAUGUCUGGUCAUUACAUGUGCUUCAAAAUAAUGAGCAGAAAAUGCACCUGCUUCUUCUACCAAGUAAGCAUUGCAUAUUGAACCUUCGACCCUUGCUUUAUUUUUGACAUUGUUCUUUAACUUUCUCAUGUAUCUAGUGUGUGAAAACAGAAAUUAGAAAUGUAUACUAAGUAAAUCAUAAUGCUGAGCAAUAUACGUAAAGAAUUAGUAAGUAUACCUCUCAAAUGGUAUAUCCACUGAUAUUGUACUGGUCCUGCAAUUAAUGCUUCAUAUGCAAGGUGUACUGGUAAAUGUUCCAUUGAAUCAAACAGACUUGGAGGAAAUACUCGUUCAAGCUUACAAAGGAUCACAGGAAUUUGUUCAUUUAACCGUUGCAUGUCCCAAUUAAUAAGUGUAGUUUAAGUAAGUUCUCUGAAGAAAUUGCUAAGCUCUGUUAUUGGUUGCCAAACAUUAUUCGAUAACAAUUCUCUGAAAGCUAUAGGAAGAAUUCGUUGUAUGAAAACAUGACAGUCGUGGCUUUUCAUACUAAAAAGUCUAAGCUUCCGACUAUCAACACACCUCCCUAGAUUGAAAACAUAUCCAUUAGGGAAUUUCAGUGUUUUAAGCCAAUCACACAGUAUCAUCUUUGAUUGCUUGUCCAAACAAUAACUUGCUUUUGGAUAUUUUCCGCUAAUUGGAUCUUUCUUCAAUUCUGGUCUCCUGCAUAUUUCAUUUAAAUCUUCCCUUGAUUUUAUAUUGUCUUUCGUCUUCCUCUCCACAUUCAUCACUGUAUUAAAAAUAUUUUCAAAUACAUUCUUUUCAAUAUGCAUUACAUCAAGAUUGUGGCGAAUCAUAUUUGAUUACCAAUAUGGCAAAUCCCAUAAUAUGCUCCGCUUACGCCAACCAGUUGUCUUUGAAAGCCGACCAUUUAUUUCAUGACUGUCAAUGUCUAUUAUCCGCAUCAACCCAAUUUGCUCAAUUUCUUUUAGCAAGUAUUCCCCAGUUCUAAUUGGCGGCGAUGACUUGGAGACUGUUUGGUUUUUAAUAAAAGAUAUCUUGUUUCGACGGAAAGCAUGGUCGUCAGGCAAAAACUUUCGAUGACUGUCAAACCAUGUUUGUUUACCCCCCCUUUUUAAUGUAAAUGCAUCUGUGUUUUCCAUACAGUAGGGACAUGCAGUGCGUCCUGCUGUGCUCCACCCUGAGAGCAUUGAAUAAGCAGGGAAGUCACUAAUAGUCCAAAGUAAAGCAACAUGCAUAGUAAAAUUGUUCUGCUGGAAAGCAUCAUAAGUAUUCACACUAAUUUUUCAAAGUUCUUUCAAUUCCUUCACUAAUGGUUGCAUGUACACAUCAAGCUUCUCUUUUGGAUUCUUGGGACCAGGUAUGAUAAUUGUCAGGAAUAUGUACUCAUCUUUCAUACACAUACCUGGUGGCAAAUUGUAUGGAGUUAAUAUUACUGGCCAUGAAGAAUACUGUUGCCCAAAUUGACCGAAUGGUUGAAAUCUAUCAGUGCAAAGGCCGAGUCUGACAUUUCGGGCCUCCAUUGCAAAGGUUGGAUGAGUUUGAUUGAAAUGCUUCCAAGCAAGAGCAUUUGAACAAUGAUGCAUCACCCCAUCAUCAUUUGCAUGGUCAUUGUGCCAAGUCAUAUACUUAGCUGUAACACACGAUGUAUAAAGUCUUUGCAAACGUGGUGUAAUGGGAAAGUAAUACAUUUUUUUGUAUGGUAUUAGACUCUUCCCUUUCCCCUUGGUGUGCUUGAGGUGUUUGAACCUUUCAUGGUCACAAAAUUUGCAUCUAGUAAGUUCUUUAUUAUUUUCCUAAUAAAUCAUACAAUCAUUAAAACAACAGUGUAUCUUUUGUACAGGAAGCCCCAAUCCUUGGACUAGUCUCUUUGUUGAGUAAAAGCUGCCCGUCAUGACAUUGUCACUCGGUAACAUCUCCUUCAUAAGUUCACAAAUCUGAUCAAAACACCAUUCUGAGAAAUGAUGUUCUGCCUUCAGAUUUAGUAAACGUGAAACGGCCGAUAACUGAGAGUGAGUUUCACAUUCAGGCCAUAGUUCUUACUUAGAUGCAUUUAACAUUUCAUACAGUUUCUGUGCAGCGGAGUUUGGCAUCUCAUAUGUAUCAUUAUGUAUUAUAUGACAACUUAUUGCAUCCAUGACCAUGUCCUCAAACCGAUUGAAAUUUAGGUGAUUAACACUAUCAGAACCAUAAGACAUGUCUAAUAGUGCAUCACCAGAUCCGUCAUGCACUUCAGUUUCACCGUGCAAAUACCAAGCAAGGUAAUUUUGCACAAAACCAUGCUUCAUUAAAUGAUAUUUAACUGUAUUUUCAUCUUGAAAGCUACAGUUCUGACACUUAAAUCGAUUGCAAGGACAGCGAAUCUGAUCGUCAUUUAAAUAAUAUGGGCAGUUCUUAGCCUUCUCUAUAAAUUCAUUGAUCCCCUCUAAAUAUCUGGGAUUAAGUAAACCAUCUCUGAGACGAGCAUACAUCCAACUUCUUUCAGCAGUCAUAUUAACUACAAUAACGAUGCUGAUAUGAAAACAUAAAACUUAUAAAUCCUAUCUUCGAACAGAGCCUGAAAACCAAUAAUUAAAUUAUGCAUUAUAUCUAAAAUAUGCAGUAAUUAUAUCAAUUUUACUUAAGAGAAUAAUUUAUGCAAAAAAAUAGAAUAAUAAUACAAAAACCUGAAAUACAUGAUAAUUUAAUUACUAAUAUCUUCAUAAUCACGUGUUUAAUUAAUUAUUAGGUCCGCCAAUUUAUUAGAUGCGCCAAAUUAUUUUUGAGAAGUGCACCAAAAUGCACCAGCAGGUGCACUGCAAAAUGCACAUGCUGGUGCACUUGGCGAGUGCAACAGCAGGUGCAAAGGAUAAAUUCAAAAAAAUAUAAAACCUGAAUCAGGUAAAAAAUUUCACAAAAAUCAAGCGGGUGCAGAGGAUAAUUUCACAAAAAAUCAAAAAUUUCAAAAAUAUAAAACAUUUCACAACAAUUUCACAAGAAUGGAGUACAUGCAAGAAAAUAGGGUACCUGUGGACAGUGUCCGUCGAUAAUGGCAAGACCGGAGAGAGAGAGGGCCUCACUCGUGGACCGUGAUGCCGAGAAAGGGCGCACCUGUCGACGGUGGAUGGCGGCAGACCGUGGUUAGCGGCAGCGGUGAAAGACCCAGAGGUUGGACGCAAAUUCGGAUUUCAGAGAUAUUUUGAUUUCCUAAUCACACGAUUUAGGGAUCUCAUUUAGUAUACUGUGUAUUUUGGGUUAAAAUUCACUAACGGAUGAUUAGUCCGUUAGUGAAAAAAACAUUAGAUUAAAAAAUAAUAAAAUCACUUACAGAUUACUAACAGAAAUAAUGUCCGUUAGUAUUUCACUAACGGACUUAUGAUGGAUGGGUACGAGCGUAUUCUUCAAUCCGUUAGUGAAGUCCGUUAGUGAUCAAUUGAAAUCUUGUAGUGGGAGAUAUGGGGUGAAGAUGACGUAUCUCAUAUGUUUAAUUACACAUGUCAAGUUAGUGAUAUGACUGAUAUAAAAAAAUAUGUUAAGAUACUUCGUCGUGUUAAUACGAUAAAUGAGGAUGUUGAUAUUGAUCUCUCUGGAACUGCUCUUGAAUCAAAUAUUGAAUAAUGUGAAGAGCAGAAUUCACUGAAUGAUUAUAAUUUAUCUGAUACUCUUGAAGGGCGAUCGAAUAAUUUAUCUGAUAGAGCAGAGGAUGAUGAUUCAUAGAUAUCUACUGAGGAUGAUGAUGAUGAUGGCGAGGAUAAUGAUUCAUAGAUGUCUACUGAGGAUGAUGAUGAUGGCAAGGAGGAUAGUUUGAGUAGAUAUCAAUACUACAAUACUCAAUUUCUAAUCCUAUUGUGCCUAUUGUUCAUCCUCCCCAUACUCAGAAAUAUAUUUCGAUUUACUACAGUGGAUUCCUAUGAUAAACUAGAAUGUUGUUUCUUUUGGGAUCCAUUUAAAGAGUUUUCAAUUGGGAUGCUAUUUUCUUCAAGAUAUGCAAUGGCUCCGGCUGCAAAAAAAUAUCACCUUAGACGUCAUCAUCAAUUUUGCUACCAUGAAACAAGAGAGAGUACAUAUUCUAUAAAGUAUAAAGACAAAUACAAUGGUUGUGCAUUGAGGCUUCGAGCAUCCAAAAAACAAGAAGAGGAUAUAUAAAAAAUUAUGAGAUAUAAUGGACCACACACAUAUACAAAUCCUCAAUUAUUGAAAAACAAUAGCUAAUUGGAUGAAAAUUUCAUCUAUUCAUUCAUCUUUGCAUUGAUUGAAUAACAGCCUAAUAUAAAAAUUGCAGCCCUACAAGCAGAAGUGUGAGAUAAAUUUGGGUACGAGUUGUCUCAUAAAAAAACAUGGAAAGCAAAGUAUAAGGCAAUUGCAAAGCUUUAUGGGAGUUGAGAUGAAUCACAUAGUUAGUUGCGUAAAUUCAUAACAGCUGUUCAUUAUUUCAAUUGUGAAACAAUAUACAUUAUUAGGAACAACCCACAUUGGAUAGAUGAACAAUUAAAUUUGAUGUGUUGUAUAUUUGACCAAAUGUUUUGGACUUUUAAGCAAUCGAUUAAGGGAUUUAAAUAUUGUCAACCUGCAAUUUCAAUCGAUGAGACAUUACUUUAUGGAAAAUACACCUGGCGUAUAUUGUGUGUAACUGCACUCGAUGGAAAUAAUCAACUUUUUUUUAAAACUUUUGUCAUUGUUAAUAAGAAAGAUGAUGACAAUUAGUCAUGGGUUAUGGACUGCAUAAGGUAUUUGUGACCAAUAGAGAAGACUUAUGUGUAAUUUCAGACCAUCAUGCUGGAAUUAUUAAGACGAUACAGAAAGAUUGGUGGCAACCUCCAGCCGGUCAUCAUCCUUACCAUAUAAGACAUGUAUUGAGCAAUUACAAUAAAACAUUCAAAAAUGCUGCAAUAAAGAAAUCAUUGUGUAGGGCAGAUAGAUGUCAUGUCUUUAAAUACAAUUUUUUUUAUCUAUUUAAUGUCACAUUUUGCUGAUAAUAAUUUUACUUUAAUGAACUUAUAAUUUAUAUCAGCAAAUCAAAAUCAGAAGAGAAAGUUUUAUGAAGCCAUGAACAAUAUUCAGGAGGUGCACCCUGAAUCAUAUGAUUGGACAGUUAAAAUAAAUUUAGCGAAAUGGACGAGAUCACACGAUGGUGGACAAAAAUAUAACAUGAUGACAAUAAACAUUUCUAAAUCCCUAAAUGGCAUGAUGAAAGGAUUUUGAGUGUUGUCUAUAACGACAAUAGUUGAAAAAAUAUUCUUUCAAUAUGUCCAUUAUUUUGAUACAUGACGAACAAUAUUUUUUGAUCAGCAAAGCAAGGAUUUAUUUUCACUCAGACUUGCAGUGAAACUCUUCGUGUUAAUGCAAUUAAAACGAAUGGACAUAGAGUGAGAAGGUUUAAAAGUCAAACAAUGGUUUGUAAAAUAAUUAUUAUUCGGGGUAGGCAAAAACAAGUGGUUAAACUUAUGGAUUAAAUAUGCACAUGUGACAAAUUUCAAGAGACGAGAUACCAUGUUCACAUGCUAUUGCUGCAUGUAUGUCCCAUUCAAUUGACUACAAGCAGUUUGUCUCUGAUUAUUAUAAAUUGGAGUAUAUCAUCCAAUGUUAUGCAUACACAUUCUAUCUUUUUAGACAUCCUAACUAUUGGCCUGCAACAUAUGAACUUCUUCUUGUGCCUGACAUUUCUAGAACAAGGAAGAAGAAACGACCAAAAUCUUCUAGGAUUCAUAAUGAGAUGGAUUGAAAGUCGAGCAAAAUAAAAGAAACGUCUAGAGUCCAUUGUUUAAUAUGUGACAGGGUGGGACAUAAUAAAAAAAUCUGUGUAGGUUGAAAAAUAAAUAGAUAAAUGUUAAUAUUUAUACUUACAGUCACUUAUAUUUUUUAUAAUUAUUAUAAACGUAAUGUAUUUUUUAGUGUUCAUUUAUUUUUAUUGGUAUCUUAUAUUUAUGUUUAAUGGUCGAUCGCUCAUGAUUACAUUUACAGAUUAAUAUGGUCGAUCGCGUUGUUAAAAAGAACAAAUCACACAAGUCAUCCAUAUCAAGAAUAUUUAAGAAUAAUUCAAUUAUAAUAGUCAAAAAGUAUAUAGAUCCUAAUGGCAUAACAUGGUAUGAAAAAAAUAAAUACGUCAGAUUACUCAUGUCUUAAUCGUAGUAAUGCACCACAUAUUUUCAUUGGUUUUCCUUUAAAUUCGUUACAAGAUUUUGGAUAAGUAAUUAUAUCGAGCGUUGAACCUCCAUGGGGAGACUAUGGAAAAUACGUUGUGAGUUAGAAGUAUAUUUUAAUAAAUAUAUUAAAAUAUCUCUAAUGGUUUAAAAAAUUUACUAAUUAAUUUUUUAUUAAUUUUAACAAUUAAAUAUUAUAAAAAGUUUAAAACACUCUCGAUACGGAAAGACUAAUUAUUAACUUUUUUAUAAAAUUAAGAAAUUAAUUAAUAUUUUUUUUUUCAAAUUACAGAAAUUAGAUGAUAAAAUAUUUAAAAAUAAUUAAUUAGUAGAUUUUUUAAAAUGCUAUGAUGGUUUAAUGGAUUUUUUAAAAUUGAGAAGUAAUAGAAUUAAAUAAUAAAUUUUUAUGUAUUUUGCUAUUAUUAAGUAUACAUUUGAUAUGAUAACAAAAAUUAGAGUAGUUGUUAAUGGUAUAUAUUUUUAUGGAGUAAUAAUUAAAUUUAAAAAAAAAAGGUUUAAUAUUAAAAAUGAAUAUAACUGUUAAUCUAUUAAUUUUUUAUGUUUUAUAUAAAAAAAUUAAAAAUAAUUAAAAAUAAUUCAUUUAACUUAAUAAAAUAUCAUUUAGAUGUUAUAUUAUAGAUAAGUAAUGCAAUGAAUAUAUAUUUAUUAUGAAUCAUAUAUUAAUUUAGAGAAAAUUUUAAUAUAAAAUCAAUCAUAAAUAGAUAAAUCCGUAACAAACCGUAUUCUAAGUAGACACCUAUCAUGAUGUUCUUACAAGUGGACAAAUGGUGCGAGAGUAGAGUGCAUGUUAACGGGAAAGUAGCAAUCAAAAGAAAGCACUAGAAUUUAAGUUAUGGAACCCACAAUACGCGUCGUUUUAAAUACAAAUUUUGAAUUUUACAAAAUGGCAAAUAAUGAAAAUGUUGAAUUAAGCGUCAAAGGCCAAACCGAGACUACGUAUUAGAUAAAGUCAAACAAAGUGUGGCGACUGUUGGACAAUUCAACAUUCCUCGCUAUAUAAACGCCUAAUUCUCUACUCAUUCUUCAUCUUCAUCACCAUUUCUAUUCUCUGCCUCUUCACUUCACUCAGCUUCUCUCUCGCUGAUCAGUUUUGUUUUCUCCAGUUUUCCAUCCAUAAUUAAUAAUGGGUUUGAAGGGUUUUGUUGAAGGUGGUAUUGCCUCCAUUGUCGCCGGUGCCUCCACCCACCCUCUUGACCUCAUCAAGGUUCGCAUGCAACUUCAAGGUGAAUCCCACCUCCCCAAUCCAGCUUCCCUUCAAGCCCUCCGUCCUGCCAUCGCCUUCAACACGGUUGCUGCUGGUGCCGGUAAUAUUUCACUACCUGUAGAAAUUGCUCCUCCGCCAGCUCGCGUUGGACCCAUUUCUAUCGGUGUUCGUAUCAUUCAAUCUGAAGGUGCUGCAGCCCUUUUCUCUGGUGUAUCUGCCACUAUACUUCGCCAGACCUUGUACUCAACCACCCGUAUGGGUCUUUACGAUGUUCUCAAACACAAGUGGACAGAUCAAGACACCGGAAGCAUGCCUCUUCCACGCAAGAUUCUUGCCGGCCUUAUCUCCGGCGGUAUCGGAGCCUCCGUUGGGAACCCCGCUGACGUGGCUAUGGUCCGAAUGCAGGCUGAUGGACGUCUCCCAAUUGACCAACGUCGCAACUACAAGAGUGUGUUUGAUGCUCUGACUCAAAUGUCAAAGCAAGAAGGAAUUGCUAGCCUCUGGCGUGGCUCAAGUCUAACAGUGAACCGUGCAAUGAUCGUCACUGCAUCACAGCUCGCAUCCUAUGAUCAGAUCAAGGAGAUGAUAUUGGAGAAGGGAGUGAUGAGCGAUGGAAUUGGGACCCAUGUGACGGCGAGCUUCGCAGCUGGGUUUGUGGCAUCGGUGGCUUCAAACCCUAUAGAUGUGAUAAAGACUAGGGUUAUGAACAUGAAGGUGGAGACAGGGGCGGAGCCGCCAUACAAGGGUGCAUUAGACUGUGCAAUGAAGACAGUGAAGGCGGAGGGUCCAAUGGCUUUGUAUAAGGGAUUUAUCCCUACAAUCUCAAGGCAAGGACCUUUCACUGUGGUGCUGUUUGUCACGCUAGAGCAGGUCAGGAAGCUGCUCAAAGAUUUCUAAUUCAUGUGAUGAUGAUCGAUGAGGAAAAUCAAAUGCCAUUACAUAUAGCUAGAAAGCUGUGAAUUUUUCAGCUUCAUUACUGAGAGA